rnacentral:rRNA from 1 species
CUUAUCCUUUGUUGCCAGCGGUCCGGCCGGGAACUCAAAGGAGACUGCCAGUGAUAAACUGGAGGAAGGUGGGGAUGACGUCAAGUCAUCAUGGCCCUUACGACCAGGGCUACACACGUGCUACAAUGGCGCAUACAAAGAGAAGCGACCUCGCGAGAGCAAGCGGACCUCAUAAAGUGCGUCGUAGUCCGGAUUGGAGUCUGCAACUCGACUCCAUGAAGUCGGAAUCGCUAGUAAUCGUGGAUCAGAAUGCCACGGUGAAUACGUUCCCGGGCCUUGUACACACCGCCCGUCACACCAUGGGAGUGGGUUGCAAAAGAAGUAGGUAGCUUAACCUUCGGGAGGGCGCUUACCACUUUGUGAUUCAUGACUGGGGUGAAGUCGUAACAAGGUAACCGUAGGGGAACCUGCGGUUGGAUCAC